rnacentral:rRNA from 1 species
CCCUGGGGGGAAUGGCCCUUAGUACGGCGAGUGAGCGGCAAAAGCUCAAAUUUGAAAUCUGGCACCUUCGGUGUCCGAGUUGUAAUUUGAAGAAGGUAACUUUGGAGUUGGCUCUUGUCUAUGUUCCUUGGAACAGGACGUCACAGAGGGUGAGAAUCCCGUGCGAUGAGAUGCCCAAUUCUAUGUAAAGUGCUUUCGAAGAGUCGAGUUGUUUGGGAAUGCAGCUCUAAGUGGGUGGUAAAUUCCAUCUAAAGCUAAAUAUUGGCGAGAGACCGAUAGCGAACAAGUACAGUGAUGGAAAGAUGAAAAGAACUUUGAAAAGAGAGUGAAAAAGUACGUGAAAUUGUUGAAAGGGAAGGGCUUGAGAUCAGACUUGGUAUUUUGCGAUCCUUUCCUUCUUGGUUGGGUUCCUCGCAGCUUACUGGGCCAGCAUCGGUUUGGAUGGUAGGAUAAUGACUAAGGAAUGUGGCUCUACUUCGGUGGAGUGUUAUAGCCUUGGUUGAUACUGCCUGUCUAGACCGAGGACUGCGUCUUUUGACUAGGAUGUUGGCAUAAUGAUCUUAAGCCACCCGUCUUAAAAAAGGGAACAAAAAAAAAAAACAAAAAAUAAAUAUAAAAAAUAAAAAUAUUAAAAAAGUGGUGUAGCGGAGCACCCCUCUGACCGCGGCACACAUUACGCUGAGAGUUUUUCUGUUUG